rnacentral:rRNA from 1 species
UAGUCAAUGCUCGCAAGAGUGAACUAGCUAACUGGAAUCAUAGGUGUGUCAUCUAUGAUAACGUAAAGGAAAAUAAUGAUGUAACUUUACUAAAUUUAAGUGUUGUCCAAAGCUGGUGCCAGAAGACUCGGUAAGGCCAGAGACGCGAGCGUAAGUCAUCUUGAAAAGGCGUAAAGGGUAUGUAGGCAUCUUUGAAAAUUUUAUUAAGAUAAUAAAUAAAUCAAAGAUAGAAUCAUAUAGAGGUCACAGACCAGAGAAUUCUUAGAGUGAGGGAUGAUAUCCACAGAUACUAAGAGGAAUACUAAUUAGCGAAUGCUCUUUUCCAACUUAUGAUUGACGCUGAGAUACGAAGGGGAGGGAAUACAAUAGGAUUUGAUACCCUCGCAUUCCUCUCUGUAAACGAUGAAUGGUAGUUGCUAGUUUAAAAAAUUAGUGGCGAUGCUAACGCGUUAACCAUUCCGCCUUGUGAGUACGGCCGCAAGGUUGAAAACAAAAAAAUUAGUCGCUUUCGGAGCAAACGAAGUGAAGCAUGUUAUU